GCGUAUGAGGAGCCAUGCAUA
rnacentral:miRNA from 7 species